rnacentral:tRNA from 1 species
AGCUCAGUUGGUUUAGAGCAUCUGCCUUACAAGCAGAGGGUCGGGGGUUCGAAUCCCUCA